rnacentral:lncRNA from 1 species
UCAAGAGAAGAUUAACCGAGUUAUGUUCAUUGGAGAAUUAUUCCAUUCGUUCUUGUUCUUGUGUUUGAUUAUUCGAUUGGGACUUGACUUCAUGUGAGUUUUAUUGCCUCUUUUUACAACUUUUCAACUUUGGGGUGGAAAACACGCAUACAACUACUACAAGUUUUUCAUACAAGUCAUGCUACAAUUUUGGGGAUUGGGUAUUUGUUAAAUGGCUUUUACACAAUUUUGGGUAUUUGUUAAAUGGUUUUUACAUGCUGCAAACAAGUUCAUUUAUCACACAUAAGUCCCCUCAUUACAACACUACCUAACCAUUAAUUAACUUUGGAUAAGCCAUCGAUAGUACGUUGAUAGAUCUAUUGGUUUGACUAACCGAGUAGAUAUCUUCGAAAUCCGACUACAAGAACAAUAGUUUGACAUCCCGUGAUAAGGAGUCAGGCGUUAGGGGGCUACAGUCACUAGGGUUGGAUAAUGAUGACAUGUAUUUAAAUUUAUCUGCCUAUAUGCUUCACUUGUUUGUGAUUUGGUAUAACUACGUCAUGACAUUUCUCAAAAUCUAUGAACUCACAGAUUUUUAGUUGACACGUUUUAACAAAAUUUUCAAGUGAUGAAAGCUAGAGAAUAGAGACUGUUGAAUGCUCACACAUAGGAUUCAUGCAGAGGACCUCGAUAUUUAAUAAUAGGAAUUUAUCUGUUUUCUCAUUCAAUGUUUGAAAAUUUUGGGU